ensembl:snoRNA Snord61 small nucleolar RNA, C/D box 61
GCUGUGAUGAAUUUGAAUUCAUUGAUCAUCUGAUAUGAUAAUUUAUUUUGUCCUCUAAGAAGUUCUGAGCUU